AGUUGCUACAUUCAGUUGGGCGACUCUAAUGAGACUGCCGGUGACAAACCGGAGGAAGGUGGGGAUGACGUCAAGUCCUCAUGGCCCUUAUAGGUGGGGCUACACACGUCAUACAAUGGAUGGUACAAAGGGUCGCCAACCCGCGAGGGGGAGCCAAUCCCAUAAAGCCAUUCGUAGUCCGGAUCGCAGUCUGCAACUCGACUGCGUGAAGUCGGAAUCGCUAGUAAUCGUGGAUCAGAAUGUCACGGUGAAUACGUUCCCGGGUCUU
rnacentral:rRNA from 1 species